UACGGAGGAUGCGAGCGUUAUCCGGAAUCACUGGGCGUAAAGGGUGCGUAGGCGGCCUGACAAGUCAGAGGUGAAAGGCUACGGCUAAACCGAAGUAAGCCUUUGAAACUGUUGGGCUUGAGUGCAGGAGAGGUAAGUGGAAUUCCUAGUGUAGCGGUGAAAAGCGAAGAUAUUAGGAGGAACACCAGUGGCGAAGGCGACUUACUGGACUGUAACUGACGCUGAGGCACGAAAACGUGGGGAGCAAACA
rnacentral:rRNA from 1 species